AGUAGGGAAUCUUCCACAAUGGGCGAAAGCCUGAUGGAGCAACGCCGCGUGUGUGAUGAAGGCUUUCGGGUCGUAAAGCACUGUUGUAUGGGAAGAACAGCUAGAGUAGGGAAUGACUUUAGUUUGACGGUACCAUACCAGAAAGGGACGGCUAAAUACGUGCCAGCAGCCGCGGUAAUACGUAUGUCCCGAGCGUUAUCCGGAUUUAUUGGGCGUAAAGCGAGCGCAGACGGUUGAUUAAGUCUGAUGUGAAAGCCCGGAGCUCAACUCCGGAAAGGCAUUGGAAACUGGUCAACUUGAGUGCAGUAGAGGUAAGUGGAACUCCAUGUGUAGCGGUGGAAUGCGUAGAUAUAUGGAAGAACACCAGCGGCGAAGGCGGCUUACUGGACUGUAACUGACGUUGAGGCUCGAAAGUGUGGGUAGCAAA
rnacentral:rRNA from 1 species